rnacentral:rRNA from 1 species
UACGAAGGGUGCAAGCGUUACUCGGAAUUACUGGGCGUAAAGCGUGCGUAGGUGGUUUGUUAAGUCUGUUGUGAAAGCCCCGGGCUCAACCUGGGAAUGGCAAUGGAUACUGGCAGGCUAGAGUGCGGUAGAGGGUAGUGGAAUUCCCGGUGGUAGCGGUGAAAUGCGUAGAGAUCGGGAGGAACACCAGUGGCGAAGGCGGCUACCUGGACCAGCACUGACACUGAGGCACGAAAGCGUGGGGAGCGAACGGG